AAGUUGAGCGGAGGUAGAUGGAGCUUGCUCUAUGUACCUUAGCAGCGAACGGGUGAGUAACACGUAGAUAAUCUGUCCUAUAUUGGGGGAUAGCCCGAUGAAAGUUGGAUUAAUACCGCAUACAGCUAUAUAGUUGCAUGAUUAUAUAGUGAAAGAUUUAUUGAUAUAGGAGGAGUCUGCGGCACAUUAGCUAGUAGGUGAGGUAAGAGCUUACCUAGGCGACGAUGUGUAGCCGGUCUGAGAGGAUGAACGGCCACAAUGGAACUGAGACACGGUCCAUACUCCUACGGGAGGCAGCAGUGGGGAAUAUUGCACAAUGGGGGAAACCCUGAUGCAGCAACGCCGCGUGAGUGAAGAAGGUUUUCGGAUUGUAAAGCUCUGUUAGCAGGGAAGAGGAAGGACGGUACCUGCAGAGGAAGCCACGGCUAACUACGUGCCAGCAGCCGCGGUAAUACGUAGGUGGCAAGCGUUGUUCGGAAUAACUGGGCGUAAAGGAUGCGUAGGCGGUUAAAUAAGUUAUAUGUUAAAUAUAUAGGCUUAACCUGUAGAAAGCAUAUAAAACUGUUUAACUAGAGUGCAGGAGAGGUAAGUGGAAUUCCUAGUGUAGCGGUGAAAUGCGUAGAGAUUAGGAAGAACACCAGUGGCGAAGGCGACUUACUGGACUGUAACU
rnacentral:rRNA from 1 species